rnacentral:rRNA from 1 species
CAGUCGACGAACCUUCGGGUUAGUGGCGGACGGGUGAGUAACGCGUGAGAAUCUGCCCUCAGGAGGGGGAUAACGGCUGGAAACGGCCGCUAAUACCCCAUGUGCCGAGAGGUGAAAUGAAAUUCGCCUGAGGAUGAGCUCGCGUCUGAUUAGCUAGUUGGUGGGGUAAGAGCCUACCAAGGCAUCGAUCAGUAGCUGGUCUGAGAGGAUGAUCAGCCACACUGGGACUGAGACACGGCCCAGACUCCUACGGGAGGCAGCAGUGGGGAAUUUUCCGCAAUGGGCGAAAGCCUGACGGAGCAACGCCGCGUGAGGGAUGAAGGCCUCUGGGCUGUAAACCUCUUUUAUCAAGGAAGAAGACCUGACGGUACUUGAUGAAUAAGCCACGGCUAAUUCCGUGCCAGCAGCCGCGGUAAUACGGGAGUGGCAAGCGUUAUCCGGAAUUAUUGGGCGUAAAGCGUCCGCAGGCGGCCUCGUAAGUCUGUUGUUAAAGCGUGGAGCUUAACUCCAUUUCGGCAAUGGAAACUGUGAGGCUUGAGUGUGGUAGGGGCAGAGGGAAUUCCCGGUGUAGCGGUGAAAUGCGU